GGGAGAGGAUGGGUGGCUGCGGACCGGUUUCCGGUCUGGGGAAAGUCCUCCCACCACCAGGGGGCCACACCCAAGUUGGGGAGGCUGAGAAGCCUCGGGACCGGAGCAGAAACGACACGUCUCACACCUGGGAUGAUACGACCUGUCGAGUCGUUGACGGCGGUGUGAGGAUCGAUGAAACGGCCGGCCUGUGGUGGUGAAAGCCCAAGAAAGCGCCUGUGAUCACCCUGGUGAGGCGCGUGGUGGGGCGCUAAGCUGGAUGCCACCUGAAAACUGAAGGAGGCUUACAGUCCUCACCC
rnacentral:RNase_P_RNA from 1 species